rnacentral:rRNA from 1 species
AGUGUGCUAGCUUGCUAGAAUUUAGAUACAGGUGCUGCACGGCUGUCGUCAGCUCGUGUCGUGAGAUGUUGGGUUAAGUCCGCAACGAGCGCAACCUCGUGUUUAGUUGCUAACAGUUCGGCUGAGAACUCUAAACAGACUGCCUACGCAAGUAGGAGGAAGGUGAGGACGACGUCAAGUCAUCAUGGCCCUUACGGCCAGGGCUACACACGUGCUACAAUGGGGUAUACAAAGAGCAGCGAUACGGUGACGUGGAGCAAAUCUAGAAAAUGCCUCUCAGUUCGGAUUGUAGUCUGCAACUCGACUACAUGAAGUUGGAAUCGCUAGUAAUCGUAGAUCAGCAAUGCUACGGUGAAUACGUUCCCGGGUCUU